rnacentral:rRNA from 1 species
AUUCCAGCUCCAAUAGCGUAUAUUAAAGUUGCUGCAGUUAAAAAGCUCGUAGUUGGAUUUGUGGCGCGGCCGUCCGGCGGGGCUCCUUCAUUGGGGCCGUUUGUCUGGUUUUUCGGCCGCUCCAUUCUCGGGUAGUGUGUCGCUGGCAUUAGGUUGUCGGCUUCUUCACGCCCGUCGUUUACUGUGAAAAAAUUAGAGUGUUCAAAGCAGGCUUAGGCAAUGGAUACAUUAGCAUGGAAUAAUGAGAUAGGGCCACGACGGUCUAUUUUGUUGGUUUGCACGUUGUGGUAAUGAUUAACAGGAACGGUUGGGGGUAUUCGUAUUCAAUUGUCAGAGGUGAAAUUCUUGGAUUUAUGGAAGACGAACUACUGCGAAAGCAUUUACCAAGGAUGUUUUCAUCA